GCGGCCGGCACCGGCCGGAAGCCCGCGAAGCCUAACUCUCGCGAGACGCCUCCUGAGUCCCGCCUCUCCGCGGUUCCGCCAGUCGCCGCGCUCCUGUCUGCGUUGCUGUGGCAGCCCCGCCGUGCGUCCGCGUUCCCGGAGCCAGCGCGGCGGCGCGCCUGUGCUCGGGGCUUGGCCGUAGCUUUUCCUCAGGUCCCGCGCGGCGCGCCCCUGUGUCGCAGGCGCCCUGCCGCUGCCCGCAGCUUUUGGGGGGUUCGGGGGCGGGGGAAGCAGGGCCGCAGAAGGCCCAAUCGGAGCCUUCUGACACCCGCCCCGGCCCGCCGCCCUCCCGGAGCUUCCGUCCCCGCCGCCUGGCUCCUUACUGACACGCGCGCCGCCCCCGGUCGCCCGUUUUCCCUGGGCUCCGGCCUCCUCUCGCUUCCAGCCCUGGCCUGAGCCCCAGCGCUCGGCCUCCGCAGAGCCGGCCCAACGAAGGAAGAAUGAAAAUAUGAACGUGACAUGAUGUGGGCUUGAGAGGCCGCCUUGUUCUUUGGAUUCACCCAGAAACCUGACUGAAAGGAAAGUUACUGCAACUGGGGAAAAGCACAGUUGGCUGGAGAAUUUGGUUUAAAAAUAAAUAAGUUUUAAAUUACGUAACUAACACGUGCUUGGUGUAGAAAAUUUGGAAAACAUAUGAAAGUACGGUAUAAAAAUCCUCGAUCCCACUG
rnacentral:lncRNA from 1 species